rnacentral:rRNA from 1 species
CCCGCUCCCGGUAAAACGGGACGGCCCGCCAGAGGACCCCUAAACUCUGUUUCUAUAUGUAACUUCUGAGUAAAACCAUAAAUAAAUCAAAACUUUCAACAACGGAUCUCUUGGUUCUGGCAUCGAUGAAGAACGCAGCAAAAUGCGAUAAGUAAUGUGAAUUGCAGAAUUCAGUGAAUCAUCGAAUCUUUGAACGCACAUUGCGCCCGCCAGUAUUCUGGCGGGCAUGCCUGUUCGAGCGUCAUUUCAACCCUCAAGCACAGCUUGGUGUUGGGACUCGCGUUAAUUCGCGUUCCCCAAAUUGAUUGGCGGUCACGUCGAGCUUCCAUAGCGUAGUAGUAAAACCCUCGUUACUGGUAAUCGUCGCGGCCACGCCGUUAAACCCCAACUUCUGAAUGUUGACCUCGGAUCAGGUAGGAAUACCCGCUGAACUUAAGCAUAU